rnacentral:lncRNA from 1 species
UGCCACAUGUUCAGGCAAUAAAUUGGUUGUAACAGAGCUGCUUCCUGCACUCUGCUGAGUAGAAGUAUUCCAACUGAGACAAUAACUGGCAAAAUAAGAUUGACAAACUCUGGUCUCCAUUCACUGAUAAAGUUACCUGAAUCUCAGUUUAAGACUACAGUAUGGUUACCAGGAUUUCUCAAGUACUUCCGCAAUGCUGCUCCGCUCAGGCCGCCAAAAGCCGUACAAAGUACCUAGCAGGAGAAGGCAAUCUGUUAAAUAUCUACUGAAGACUGGCAAAGCAGCUCCAGAAAAGUCAGGGUUUAGUCUACGAGAAACAGUAAAAUGUUACAUACUGACAGAAGAUUCAAAAACUGUCCAUUUUGACUUAGAUGAACAUGGUCAUCAUGAAAUAUCCACCAAGGAUUCACAAUCCCAUGAAGAUAUCGCAUGGUUAAGCGUGUUCACAAGCAAUGACUCAACAGUUUGUGGUAAGACUCGGAUGACUGAAGUGGAAAGAAAAUUAUCUCAGGAAAGUGCUAAAAAUCUGGUGAUCCUCACGCAGAGAUCAAAGCUUAAUGAAUUUGUCCUGUUGUGCAAGGGUGAAAAGCAGCUCUCUCUAAAGCUGAGUGAAGACAAUCUCUUUUUCAUCAUGCAUUGCCAAGGAGAUUCAGUGAAGUUCCAAUGCUAUGAAGACACAAGUUACUAUCUGCAUGUGAAUGAGGACUCACUUGACAUACGCAAGCCAGAAGACACAGAACCUGAUGGGGAGAAAAAUUUUUACUUCAGGGUGUCAUAUUUGUAGGAAAAGUAAUUUGUCUACCUUUCAGUGGCCUAAGUGUCCAUAAAACUCCUAUAAUAAGCUAACAGAAAAGAUUGAGAUCAUAUAGAACUAAUCUCUAUUUUGCCUUUUUUAUGACUUUUUUUUACCAUCUUGAGUCACAAUUUUCCAUUUUAUGAGUGACAUCCUUUAGUUCUGUUCUGUACAAUAGGAAGAGAAAAUGGUUAAGUUUGGAAAGCAAAGUCUGCUGGUAUUUUAUCUGCACAAUUAUUGUUUUGAGUAGCUGAGUUCUUCCUGAAGGGGAAAAAUAAACAGAGCUUAUCUCAAAAACA